GUAGGGUGCAAGCGUUGUCCGGAAUUAUUGGGCGUAAAGAGCUCGUAGGCGGUCUGUCACGUCGGCUGUGAAAACCUAGGGCUCAACCCUGGGCCUGCAGCCGAUACGGGCAGACUAGAAUUCGGUAGGGGAGACUGGAAUUCCUGGUGUAGCGGUGAAAUGCGCAGAUAUCAGGAGGAACACCGGUGGCGAAGGCGGGUCUCUGGGCCGAUAUUGACGCUGAGGAGCGAAAGCGUGGGGAGCGAACAGGAUUAGAUACCCUGGUAGUCCACGCCGUAAACGAUGGGCACUAGGUGCCCGGGGGAGCGACCCUCCGGGUGCCGGCGCUAACGCAUUAAGUGCCCCGCCUGGGGAGUACGGCCGCAAGGCUG
rnacentral:rRNA from 1 species